AUAAAACUUUCAACAACGGAUCUCUUGGCUCUGGCAUCGAUGAAGAACGCAGCGAAAUGCGAUAAGUAAUGUGAAUUGCAGAAUUUAGUGAAUCAUCGAAUCUU
rnacentral:rRNA from 1 species